GACGAACGCUGGCGGCGUGCUUAACACAUGCAAGUCGAACGGAAAGGCCCUGCUUUUGUGGGUUGCUCGAGUGGCGAACGGGUGAGUAACACGUGAGUAACCUGCGCUUGACUUUGGGAUAACUUCAGGCAACUGGGGCUAAUACCGGAUAGGAGCUCCUGCUGCAUGGUGGGGGUUGGAUAGUUUCGGCGGUUGGGGAUGGACUCGCGGCUUAUCAGCUUGUUGGUGGGGUAGUGGCUUACCAAGGCUUUGACGGGUAGCCGGCCUGAGAGGGUGACCGGCCACAUUGGGACUGAGAUACGGCCCAGACUCCUACGGGAGGCAGCAGUGGGGAAUAUUGCACAAUGGGCGGAAGCCUGAUGCAGCAACGCCGCGUGCGGGAUGACGGCCUUCGGGUUGUAAACCGCUUUCGCCUGUGACGAAGCGUGAGUGACGGUAAUGGGUAAAGAAGCACCGGCUAACUACGUG
rnacentral:rRNA from 1 species